AAUCACUAACUUCACUGCCACC
rnacentral:miRNA from 1 species